rnacentral:rRNA from 1 species
GGAAAUCUCACCAGGCCCGGACACUGGAAGGAUUGACAGAUUGAUAGCUCUUUCUUGUUAGCAAUAACAGGUCUGUGAUGCCCGUUCUUAGUUGGUGGAGUGAUUUGUCUGGUUAAUUCCGUUAACGAACGAGACCUUAACCUGCUAAAUAGUGACGCGGUUCAUCGAACCGUGGGCCACUUCUUAGAGGGACUAUCGGAUUCAAACCGAUGGAAGUGUGAGGCAAUAA